CGUGAUCGGAGACGCAUAUUUAUAUGGGGAUGUGUUUCCCAGCAAACUAGAGGUGCUCUUCUACAGCAAACGGCGUUACUGAUUCGGCGGUCGUGCUGGUUGUAUCCAUUAUUCAGCCCUUUCAAUGCCUUCUGGUCUCCAUAUAUUCAGAACAUAAUUUCUGACACUUAUGGGAUAACUAUCCCUCCUAUUGAAUAUGCUCGCUUUUGCUGCCUGUAAUAUUCAGUCACUAAUACUGUGACCAGCAUAUUUACCUUUUGGCUUGUUUUGGAAAUAUCAAUAGCUCCCGAUGAAGCGGAUUCCCCCGCGAAACAUGUAGAGCUUGUCUUGAAUAUCAAUAUACAUGACAGCCGUCACCCUGUUGAUGUCUUACUUGGACCAGUUUUUUGGUUUAAAUGUGUUGUAAUCAUUGCAAUUUCUGUGAUAAUUCAUCCUGUACUUUUUAAUGUUUUUUAUAAAUGUAAUUACAUCAUUGUUGAUUCAAUAGCCCA